rnacentral:lncRNA from 10 species
GAUGAUCUGCUAUUUAUAGCCCCACUAAGAGGCUCUGGCCGCCAGCUCCAUGUGAGUCUGGGUGGAAAUGAUGCCUUCGCAGAGCUGAGAGCACAAAAUGAAGUUGGUGAUUCAUGGGCAGCAGCCACUUGAAAAUAUGAACACUCCUGCGUCCCCAGCCCCGCCGGCCUUUCACACCCAUUUGGAGGCGUGUUGAGCAGAGCUGCUAGCCUGCUGCAUCCUAGUCUGCAUGUGUUUGGGCAGGAUGUGAGGACAGGCCGGUUCUACCCUGACAAGGAGCCUGCAAAGGGCAGCAGCACGCCUGGGAGCACUCCAAGAACGUCUGCCCACCCCCCGAGAGGCCUCGGCUGGAACCCAGGGCAGGGCUGAGUAAGAGGUGAAGUGGCACAGUAACGCAUUCCAGGAGGACAUCGCUGAGGGCCCCAAUUGUGAGGACAUUGCCCAUCAAUCUUGGAGCCUCCACACCAAGCUGGGAUUCUCUCUCUUCUGGACUUCAUAGCCUUCUGAGACCGCACUGGGGAGAACAGUAAGAGAGCUUUGUAAGGCCACUCUGGCUCCUCACCCACCUUUUCUGGGCUCACUCUUCUGAAGCCAUAGCUGACCUAAGCGACCCACCUGGGCUUUUAAGGUGGGCUACAUUCCCCCAGGCCCAGGAACUACAAAUGGGAGGCCAGGAGUGCUAUAUGCCGCAGCCAGAGGCGUCUGUGCUCCAAAAAGUCUUCUGAGUGGGCUUCUCAGCAGUGGAUGGGAACGUAGGGCAGUCUUCUCCUCCCCACACCACUCAAAACUGCAAUUUUACAAACCAAGAAUUAAAGCCUGGAAUACUCAGUGUCCUGUGGUCUCCCAAAGUGGGAGGAUCCUAAAGCAGGACGGGCUUCCCUUAGAAGCCAGGCAUAUUGGCAGGAGGUACCCAGGUAAACAAGCAACCUUGGGGCAAUGUUAAUCUGCUUUUUCUCUUCUUCGGUGUCUGGCUGAGUCUAAAUUGAAUUAUUAAUCUACUCCUGUGUGCCCGUGUCAUUUUCCAGACAACCAGUUUAUUCAUGACUCGCCCACUAUCAAUUUCAACAUGCAAUUUGCAAUGAAAUUUGACUGAUCAGCAAUACCAUAAUUAGUUGCAAAUGUCUGUGCUUGUAUUUGUUUGGUGUAGGGGCUUUUUCAUUAAAGUGACGGAGGCCCAUAAACACCAUGACUUGCUCUGGGACACAGGACUCGCAACAGUUAUGUCAUGGGCCAGGAUAGGAGCGCUGGCAAAGAGAUUGUGGGAGCUUGAAGUUGCAGCACCAGGGGUUGUGUUGUCAUCUUUACAGUCCUGUGUUCACCAAGAGUCAUCCAGGUUGGGCAAAUGGUGACAUGUGUAAUCCAUGAGGAGGAAGAGAACUGGAGUUACCCUGUGCGGCCUCUCCCUUAAAUCUCCCCAGAUCCUGCUGGCACACCUGCAGUAACAGGGGGCUUCCUACCUGGUGAGGCAGCUCCCCUUGUGAGAAAGUUCUUCCUUGCCUGGGUUCCCACUUGCCUGUUGUAGGUCCGUCCCACCUAGUCCAGGGUUCUGGUCUUAACUCAGAAAUCAUUACAUUGCCUGAGCUUGGGCCAGUCUCUAAGCCUCAGCUUAUUCAUCUGAAAAAAGUUGUCCUACCUCAAGGAUUUCUAACUGCAAGUAACAGAAAAUGGCUCUUAACUUAGGCAGAUUGACUAGCUGACUUAAGGAGAAAAAUAAUAAAGAUAUUGAGCAGCUCAGAGAAUCUCUGGACAGAGCAGAAAAAGCAGACCCAGGGACUACACAGCAAUGAGCAAGGCCCCAGAUCACACUGAAGAACUGGUUUAGUCAGGGCCUUGCUGCCAUCAUGGUCAUCACCGACACCAUGCUCUAGACUCUGCAGGCUAGGCUGCAGGGACCAUGUCCGUGCCCUCAGGUGCCACCACCUCUACCACCCUGAGGACGCCAGCCUGCUACACCCACAGUAACCAUUAAGGAGAGUUCUCUGUGUUCUCUGCUUCCUGGGGUCAUUAGCUCUUGGGUUAGUCUGGAGCUUGUGUGGUUGAUUGUGAGAGCCUAGGUCUUGUGCCCUUACCCAGCCACUGGGAGGCUGGCAAAAGAGUGCACAUGGUACUUGCAGCCUCUAAAGAGGGAAAUGGGCUCUGUCUCAGAGUGAAGGUAAUUUCCCAACACAGGAAGAGGGCUCAGAUCCUGGGUAGCCAAAAGAAAGAACAAAGAAUCAAAUAAGAUAUAGAUGUUAAAGAGGUUUUAGAAUAUAUUAAGCUUGGGGGCUGGACGCCAUGGCUCACACCUGGAAUCCCAGCACUUUGGGAGGCUAAGGCAGGAGGAUCACUUGAGGCCAGGAAUUGGAGGUUGCAGUGAGCUAUGAUCAUGCCACUGCGCUCCAGCCUGGGCAACAGAGCAAGACUUUGUCUCAAAAAAAACAAGAAGAAAGAGAAAGAGAGAGAAUAUCAAGCUCUACACACCUGCCAAAGAUUAUUCUUAUUCAUUCAUAAGUAUUUCUGCAGAUAUUAAAAGGGCAAAGUUGUGGUCCUUACCCUCAAAGAAAACACAGUACAUUCAGGGAGUAAGAAGGCAUGGGUCAGAUGACCCCCGUUCCAGGCAGAGGGUGAUGACUCUUGUGGAUUCUGAAUGUCCAGAUUACAUGGUGAUUAACUAUGAAACACUAGGUCUCAGAGGGGUGGGCAGUAUCUGGAGGCUUCUGGGACAGCCCAACAUUUUCUUGGAGUUGGGUGGUAUGUCAUAUGCUCUCUGUAUCCUGUGCAUCAGUACACCGAUGUCCUAUAUAGACCCAGACCAGAAGAAUCCUGCCCAUACAUGACUGUUUCCUAUUGAUAGCUGUUGUCAUUUCUCUGCUUAGUACCCACUCCCCCUCUUCUGGUAAUAGCACCCCAAUUUUACCUGGGGAACUACUCUUGUCAUUUUCAGCUCAUGUACUUCAGGUGGAAUUAAUUCCAUGGCGUAAGAGUCACAGGUGAAUCAAGCCUGGCUAAUCAGAGCUGUAUAGCGCAUUAUGCACUAUGCAGAGCUGCACAGUGGUUGGUUUAGGGAUGGGCAUGGGACCCAAGCCAAGCCAUGAGGUCCAAUCAGAGCGAAUAUCAGAUAUUCAAGUGGACAGAAAAAGAUGCUCUUCUUUCUCUUGGACUUGGAGAUGUGAGAGCAUCAGCAGCUGCUGACAGCUGUCUUGCCACCAGAGUCUGAGAACAAGGCCAACUCUAAAGAAAGCAGAAGUGAAAAAUGGCCUGGUCCAAUGAUAUUUUUGAGCCCCUGGAUCAAACUGUGCCUGAAGCCCCAGAAUAUUUCCAUUAUGUAAACAAAACCAACCAACAAAUAAAUAGGUCUCUUGCUUAAACCAAUUUGGAUGAGUUUUAUAUCACUUGCAGCUAAAAAUGUUCUAAUUGGCUCUCACCCACACACCCUGUCAAAGCACCAGCCUAGAGCCAACUCCUUGGGAAUGUCCAUAAUGAAAUCACCAGAGGGUCUUCUCUCUGGUCCAGUAGUUCUUCAGAGCCCCAGGGUAAGGCAAGUCCCCCGCUAUCUUCCCACUAUACAAAAGAGAAGACG